rnacentral:rRNA from 1 species
ACGGCUCAGUAACACGUGGAUAACCUGCCCAAGGGUUCGGGAUAACCCCGGGAAACUGGGGAUAAUACCGGAUGGAUCACUAGUGCUGGAAUGCUUGGUGGUUUAAAGGUAACGCCUUUGGAUGGGUCUGCGGCGGAUUAGGUUGACGCCGGUGUAACGUACCGGCGUGCCUGUAAUCCGUACGGGUUGUGGGAGCAAGAGCCCGGAGAUGGAUUCUGAGACACGAAUCCAGGCCCUACGGGGCGCAGCAGGCGCGAAAACUCUACAAUGCAGGCAACUGCGAUAGGGGGACAUCGAGUGGCAUCCACCUUGGGUGCCUGUCCAACCGUCUAAAAAACGGUUGUUAGCAAGGGCCGGGUAAGACCGGUGCCAGCCGCCGCGGUAAUACCGGCGGCUCGAGUGGUGGCCGAUAUUAUUGAGUCUAAAGGGUCCGUAGCCGGCUUUGCAAGUCCCCUGGGAAAUCCAGCGGCUUAACCGUUGGGCUUUCAUGGGAUACUACAUUGCUUGGGACUGGGAGAGGUAGGAGGUACUCGGGGGGUAGGGGUGAAAUCCUGUAAUCCUCCGGGGACCACCGGUGGCGAAGGCGUCCUACCAGAACAGGUCCGACGGUGAGGGACGAAAGCUAGGGGCACGAACCGGAUUAGAUACCCGGGUAGUCCUAGCCGUAAACGAUGCCCGCUAGGUGUCACGACGGUCGUGAAUCGUCGUGGUGCCGUAGGGAAGCCGCGAAGCGGGCCACUUGGGAAGUACGGCCGCAAGGCUGAAACUUAAAGGAAUUGGCGGGGGAG